UACGUAGGGGGCAAGCGUUGUCCGGAUUUAUUGGGCGUAAAGAGCGUGUAGGCGGCCAUACAGGUCCGUUGUGAAAACUGGAGGCUUAACCUCCAGACGUCGAUGGAAACCGUAUGGCUAGAGUCCGGAAGAGGAGAGUGGAAUUCCAGGUGUAGCGGUGAAAUGCGUAGAUAUCUGGAGGAACACCGGUGGCGAAGGCGGCAUCCUGGACCGACACUGACGCUGAUGAGCGAAAGCCAGGGGAGCAAACGGG
rnacentral:rRNA from 1 species